GCGGCUUAAUUUGACUCAACGCGGGGUAAUUUACCAGGUAUAACAUGAUAUAAUAUUUUAUCAUGAUAGUGGUGCAUGGCCGUUUCCAAUGGAUGCUGUGAAGUAAUGAUUAAUUUCAACAAGAUGUGAGACCCUCGUUUAGACAGAUGUAGUGAUACAUAUGAAGGAGAGGAUUAAAACAGGUCCGUUAUGCCCUAAGAUAAUCUGGGUUGCACGCGCAAUACAAUAAUAUUUGAUAUUAUAAGGGAUAAUAUAAUGUAAGAUAUAUUUGAACAUGGAAUUGCUAGUAAAUUUUAUUUAAUAAGUAGAAUUGAAUGAGUCCCUGUUCUUUGUACACACCGCCCGUCGCUAUCUAAGAUGGUAUUAUCUAUGAACAAAUUUAUAAAGUGAAUAGAUAGUACUAGAUCUGAUAUAAGUCGUAACAUGGUUGCUGUUGGAGAACCAUUAGCAGGAUCAUAA
rnacentral:rRNA from 1 species